CCUAACACAUGCAAGUCGAGCGGAUGACGGGAGCUUGCUCCUUGAUUCAGCGGCGGACGGGUGAGUAAUGCCUAGGAAUCUGCCUGGUAGUGGGGGACAACGUUUCGAAAGGAACGCUAAUACCGCAUACGUCCUACGGGAGAAAGCAGGGGACCUUCGGGCCUUGCGCUAUCAGAUGAGCCUAGGUCGGAUUAGCUUGUUGGUGAGGUAAUGGCUCACCAAGGCGACGAUCCGUAACUGGUCUGAGAGGAUGAUCAGUCACACUGGAACUGAGACACGGUCCAGACUCCUACGGGAGGCAGCAGUGGGGAAUAUUGGACAAUGGGCGAAAGCCUGAUCCAGCCAUGCCGCGUGUGUGAAGAAGGUCUUCGGAUUGUAAAGCACUUUAAGUUGGGAGGAAGGGCAGUAAGCUAAUACCUUGCUGUUUUGACGUUACCGACAGAAUAAGCACCGGCUAACUCUGUGCCAGCAGCCGCGGUAAUACAGAGGGUGCAAGCGUUAAUCGGAAUUACUGGGCGUAAAGCGCGCGUAGGUGGUUUGUUAAGUUGGAUGUGAAAGCCCCGGGCUCAACCUGGGAACUGCAUCCAAAACUGGCAAGCUAGAGUACGGUAGAGGGUGGUGGAAUUUCCUGUGUAGCGGUGAAAUGCGUAGAUAUAGGAAGGAACACCAGUGGCGAAGGCGACCACCUGGACUGAUACUGACACUGAGGUGCGAAAGCGUGGGGAGCAAACAGGAUUAGAUACCCUGGUAGUCCACGCCGUAAACGAUGUCAACUAGCCGUUGGAAUCCUUGAGAUUUUAGUGGCGCAGCUAACGCAUUAAGUUGACCGCCUGGGGAGUACGGCCGCAAGGUUAAAACUCAAAUGAAUUGACGGGGGCCCGCACAAGCGGUGGAGCAUGUGGUUUA
rnacentral:rRNA from 1 species